rnacentral:rRNA from 1 species
CACGCUGUAAACGAUGGGUACUAGGUGUGGGUAGUUCACUCUAUCCGUGCCGCAGCAAACGCAAUAAGUACCCCGCCUGGGGAGUACGGCCGCAAGGUUGAAACUCAAAGGAAUUGACGGGGGCCCGCACAAGCAGCGGAGCAUGUGGUUUAAUUCGAAGCAACGCGAAGAACCUUACCAGGGCUUGACAUGGCCAUGACGUAUCUGGAGACAGAUAUUUCUUUCGGGACAUGGUCACAGGUGG